rnacentral:lncRNA from 10 species
UAAGAGGACAGUCGCAUCUCUGAUGGGACCAUAGAUAUGUCACAAUGACUUCUGCAGGCAGGGCCCAGGCCAAAGAAUCAGCCAAUUAGUUCAGCAAACUUGGAUUCAAUCAAACAGUUAUCUAAAUAGCGACUGCAGAUUCAUCAAGUCAGGCCCAAAACAGUGGACGUGACAGCACAUUCCUACACUGAGAAGGCAUUGUGAAGACCCUGAUUCCAUAGCUGUGAAGCUGCAAGGUCACUAGACAGAUAAACUCAAGUCGCAAAACAUGGUUUUCCUUGAAAAGU